GAUGAACGCUGGCGGCGUGCCUAAUACAUGCAAGUCGAGCGAACAGAUGAGGAGCUUGCUCCUCUGACGUUAGCGGCGGACGGGUGAGUAACACGUGGAUAACCUACCUAUAAGACUGGGAUAACUUCGGGAAACCGGAGCUAAUACCGGAUAAUAUAUUGAACCGCAUGGUUCAAUAGUGAAAGACGGCUUUGCUGUCACUUAUAGACGGAUCCGCGCCGCAUUAGCUAGUUGGUAAGGUAACGGCUUACCAAGGCAACGAUGCGUAGCCGACCUGAGAGGGUGAUCGGCCACACUGGAACUGAGACACGGUCCAGACUCCUACGGGAGGCAGCAGUGGGGAAUCUUCCGCAAUGGGCGAAAGCCUGACGGAGCAACGCCGCGUGAGUGAUGAAGGUCUUCGGAUCGUAAAGCUCUGUUAUUAGGGAAGAACAAAUGUGUAAGUAACUAUGCACGUCUUGACGGUACCUAAUCAGAAAGCCACGGCUAACUACGUG
rnacentral:rRNA from 1 species